AGACUUGGUGUGGCUUGGGCCAUCAGCAUUUUGAGAAAAAGUUUUGCUACUAAACUUGCCCUUGCUAUUGUUUUGGAAGAUAAAGGGAAAAAUAAAAGGAUCUGAAGAAUAGGAGCUUAUUUCUUUAGACACCUAAAAUUGUGACAGAAAAGAUUAUUCUGUCCAAGUCAAUUCUCAGGUUGUGGUAGUAAUCAUAGGACUCUGCCAGGAAGAAAAAGAGAGUUAGCCCACUAUGGCCUAGAAAAACAUUGUUGCCUUCAAAUUCAUUAUUUUGAAGAUUGUAUAGCACAGUCUAGAUUGCAUGAAAAUUGAGAUUUUCCACUCAGUAGAUGAUCUUACAUAUAUUGUCCGAAACUCAGUCAACAACCCAAGACCUUUGUGAUUAUAAGCAAGUUUAAACUGGAUUCUAUGCAUUGGGAUAUUUUAUAUCUGAAAAUAUUUGCAUUAAUCCCAGUAGCUGCCCUGGAUGGAUUUGGAAAAUCACAGUAACUCAAGUGUGGCUGUGUGAAGUUAAGUGAAUGUGGCAAUAACUUUGCCAUAAAAAUUGAAGUUGGAAAUGAGUAUAAACAUUGACCAUUAAAUUUAGGAGAUAGUUUAUAAUUUGGUGAAUGAAAGUGCCUAUGAGGUGUUAAAACUGAAAGAAUGCAUAAAUGUUGUUAUUGAUGUAAGUGUGGCUUAGCUAAUUGAAGCCGCAUUUAAAACAAUUUCCAGGUUCAACUAGUAUCAAUAAUAAUGAAAGGUCUAUACGGCAUUGAGAAAAAUUCUUCUGAGCCUUUUUUGUGUUCUAAAUGCUCAAAGAUUAUCUUUUGUUAUUAACAGGAU
rnacentral:lncRNA from 1 species